UGCCCAGCAACUCCUAUCCCUACCUCCUCGUGGUACUGGCCGGGGUACGAGUAACCUUGGGGAAGAUCGGGUAACCAACCCCCGGUGGGAACUUAGGUCGUAUGCUGACAGGGAAGG
rfam:Aedes aegypti strain Liverpool supercont1.34 genomic scaffold, whole genome shotgun sequence.